UUGGAGGGCAAGUCUGGUGCCAGCAGCCGCGGUAAUUCCAGCUCCAGUAGCGUAUAUUAAAGUUGCAGUUAAAAAGCUCGUAGUUGAAUUUCGAGAUCAAAUUGUUGGUCGUGCCUCGGUACGUACUGGCAUUAUUGAUUUCUCCCUUCUGAAGAACCACGAUGUCAUUAAUUUGGUGUCGUGGGGAAUCAGGACUGUUACUUUGAAAAAAUUAGAGUGUUUAAAGCAGGCUCACGCUUGAAUACAUUAGCAUGGAAUAAUGAAAUAGGACGUUUGAUUCUAUUUUGUUGGUUUCUAGGAUCGACGUAAUGAUUAAUAGGGAUAGUUGGGGGCAUUAGUAUUCAAUUGUCAGAGGUGAAAUUCUUGGAUUUAUUGAAGACUAACUACUGCGAAAGCAUUUGCCAAGGAUGUUUUCAUUAAUCAAGAACGAAAGUUAGGGGAUCGAAGACGAUCAGAUACCGUCGUAGUCUUAACCAUAAACUAUGCCGACUAGGGAUCGGAUGAUGUUGAUUUUUUAAUGACUCAUUCGGCGCCUUACGGGAAAC
rnacentral:rRNA from 1 species